rnacentral:rRNA from 1 species
AAUGAACGUUGGCGGCAUGGAUUAGGCAUGCAAGUCGAGCGAGAAGUGUAGCAAUACACGGAAAGCGGCGGAAGGGAGAGUAAUACGUGGGAAUCUGCCCUUAGACCUGGGAUAGCAGCGGGAAACUGCUGGUAAUACCAGAUAAUGUCUAUGGACCAAAGGUGUGAUUCCGUCUAAGGAUGAGCCCACGUCCUAUUAGCUAGUUGGUGGGGUAAUGGCCUACCAAGGCGAUGAUGGGUAGCGGGUGUGAGAGCAUGACCCGCCUCACUGGGACUGAGACACUGCCCGGACACCUACGGGUGGCUGCAGUCGAGAAUCUUCGGCAAUGGGCGCAAGCCUGACCGAGCGAUGCCGCGUGCGGGAUGAAGGCCUUCGGGUUGUAAACCGCUGUCGAGGGGGAGCAACUUCCAUAGAGUUAUCUUUAUGGAUUGAGUGAUCCCUGGAGGAAGGACGGGCUAAGUUCGUGCCAGCCGCCGCGGUAAUAC